CCAGCUAAAUUAGACUAAUGAACCUAGGCAGUUAUUUUUCUUUAUCCCAUCUCCACUGACAGCAUUAUCUAAGGCAGGAGUGAAUAGUAAUUAGCAUCAAGCCUUGAAAGCACCUGUGACAUCACAAAGACACUCCCAGGAAGUCAGCUGGCUUGUUUACAGCAUUCCCUCUCUCACUGCUGAGAGAUGUAGAUGUUACAUCCCCCAGUGCUGAGAGCUUGUGGAAGAGCCCUCAUUUAUACAGGCAGCACUUGCAUGGGUGGAUGGACACUCAAAGAACUCAAUCAGCUGCUGCCCUUCCCUGGAAAUCUGCAGUCAUUCAGCACCACUGAUUUGCAUCUGGGAGGAUUCAGAGAAGACGAAUCCUGCACACACUGCAGAUCCAGCUGUGCCUGACUGACAGAAGUUUCUACUAAGCUCGGUUUUCUGUUUUUAUUAAGAAAUGUUGAGGGAGUAUGUGUGCAGUUAACUUUAUUGCUUGAGCAGAAUUCUGUGGAGUCAUCUCCAGAAUCAAGUAUCUCCUUGUUUCUGCAUGAAUCAAAGGGAACUCUAUGCCUCCUGGAGCUGCAGAAAAGAACUUUCACUGCCUUCCCAUAUUUUUCCUGUCUAGCUGCAGAUCAGGAAUACCAGUAAAGCAGUGGAGCAUCUGAGGAACCCCUUUUUUGACCUGAUGGGAAGGUGAACACUAGAAGUGAGACUGUUAAAUUCUCCUGCAUGGGCACAGACUGGGUACCAGGCAGAACAAAGUCCAAGAUCUUCAAUAUGAAAAACACAAGGCCUUGCCCUUUUAUGUGCCUUCUCACGUUUAAAGGAAGCACUGCGUUUGUUGUUGUGUGUGCCCAGAGAAAGAGAAGCUGCAGAGACCACUUGAGAUUCAGCACCAAACUGCACUUUCAGGACAUGCCCAUUUAUGAAGUAGGGUCUUAUAUUUACCAUGUACUGAGAUUACAGCUGAAUGAAAAGGCUGAUAUACUGAGGAACUUUUUUUUUCUGAGGAGACACUGUGACUUGCCCAGGCUCUAUAAUUGACUGUUCUUGAUUAUGGAAAGGACCUUCAUAUGUGAAUUUCUUUCUUGCAGUUCAAGAUAUUGUCUGGUUUAUACACAACCUCAAAAUACCACCUUUACAGGUGUACAUUUCAAGUAUAACCAUUUACAGUUAGGACACAGAAACACUUGAAUGUGUUCACCCUCUGUUUGCAAGAUCAAUACCCAGAAAUGCCUUUUGCAAAGCAAAUAUUACAUUUUCUUUUCUCUAUGUGCAGUUUUAACUGCUACUUCAGGAAAAUGAGGUUCUGAUCUUGUUCACUACUGAUAAGAGAAGGAUUCUCCAUCUUUAUAGUACUGAGCCUUUAAAGUGAUGGUGACUCAUUUUAGAACAGGAAACUAACUUGGUUUUGGUGAAAGCAAACUUGCAUAUGGCCUUACAAAAAGUUGCAUGUGUAGAAGUUAACAAGGAAGUAUUUUCUGCAUUUUGCACAUUAUUCUACAAAGUAAAUGGCAUGGAGAAUGGGCACCUUAUGGGAAAGAUGUUGCCUUUUCCUGUCACAGUGAACACUCUCUGCUACUCCAAAAAGCACAGUGUUUAAUUUUUUUAUAUGUGGACUGAAUAAAAUGUUAGAGGGUAGUUUAAAAGGCUCAUAAAAAAAGACCUGUUAAGAUCUAUACAACUAUUUCCUUAAUUAGUCAGAUGAAUCUCAGGUGCUUCACCAUGGUGGCCUUUGUGCUGCUUCUUGCUCUGCUUUGUUCUCUGAAUUUUUGGCUUGAAAGUUAAACAAAGAUGAAGACUCAGCAAACAAACUGGGGGAAGAAAUAAGCACUAAAUCUUGACCUCCUCUUUGUUUAAAAAAAAAAAAAGUCACAAUGAGACUUCAGUAGAGAAAACAUAUUGAAUCAUCCAUAAAGCUGGUCUGAGAAAACAGAAAAGUCCAAAAUCAUACAAGUUAAUGAUCAGGCCACAAUCUCAGUUGACCUAAUUUUCCUCACAGAUUUAGAAAUAUUUCCAAACAGGUAAUAUUAUCUGUGGCAAAAUCCCCAGGUAGAAGAGAGUACUCUCAUGUGCUUCAAUCUUAAUUAUGGAACACUUCAACUUCGGUAGCUUUAAUUAAUUUAUUAACAAGUUCCUGAUGUAGUUAUUUUCUAUUUAAUCUCAUUACUUUUAAUUCUUGCUUCAUAGAGCUUUGUGCACAUAAUUUUCCAGCAGCAUUUUUCUUUAUCUUGAUGCAAGACAUCCACAUGGGCAUAGGCUGCUGAUAUAUUCCAUACUUCAUUUCUCGAUAACAUCUGGAUAUCCUGUGGUAGCUUUUUAUAAAUUGGCCCUGUGACCACAAAAAAAGUCCGAAUUCUACUCUUUGAAAGGUGGAACAUAAGCAAAGUCAGUAAAAAUGCACACCCAAGAAACACAAUCUCUCUGCUGCACAUUUAUCUCGAAAUGCUACAGACAUGACCAUUAGGAAAAACCCACAAUAAUAAAAAUCCCCAGCAAAAUCCCUAAACCAAACCAAAAUCCACAUAAAAAACAGUCCAGAAACAUUCUUUCUUCCCCCCCCACCCCCCCCCCCCCCCCCAAAUGGUGGUUUUUAACCCAGCCUCUGUGGAAACAUUUUUGUUUUGUCCCAGCUAACUCUGUAUUUUAUUCCCUUCAUCUUUUCUUUCACAAAUAAUACCUAACAAAGUACUUUUCAGAACUUCCUUUGUGGCCUACAUCUUUACAUUACAGCCUCGGUUAAAAGAGCCUUCAAACCCCGAGCAGAAGAAAAGAAAGCCUUUUUCAGGGUGAAGCCAUGCUAGAAAUGUGAGCAGGGAAUGCAAGAGGAUGCUUUGCCUUUCAAUUCCAUGCUACAUCUGUAGUUCAUUGUCACCUUCAAGGGGUGGCACAGACCCUCUGCUUCCUGGGGCCUUUACAAAUAGUGAAAUAUUACCUUUUGGAUUUAUUUAAGUUAAAAGUGGGGUGAAUAUUAGUUCCAAUAACAUUUUUAAACUUGUAUCAGUACCUCCCAUUGGAGCAGCACUGAAUGUAUGGGAGCAGAAAAAUCAAAACCUGCUCUGGUGUCCUUGGAUCUUACCUGCAAUAUUAGAUGCUCCUUUCUUUAGGAUAAAAAUAGAUACAGUCCAAAAAAGGCUUAGUGCCAUCACCAAGGUUCAAGUUGUGUUUUGAAGGAGUUAUAGUGCCCUGGUUUUAUGUGCUGCAAUAACCACUUUUUGAUCAUCUGCUGCCUGGCUUUUCCAUCCUUUCCUCCUGGCGUGCCAUGUUUCAGCAGAAUAGGAAAGUGGCCUUGCAGACUCUAGGAGGGGUGGGAAUCAUGGACUUUCCUCCUCUGUGAGCAGCACCUGAACCACUUUUAUAUUACCUUUGGUUUCUGCUCCUCAGCAAUAGCCGCAGUGCCAUGAGGAUCCCAAGGAAUCUGUGAUGUGCCACCGAAUUUCUGCUCAGCUCCUCUCCCUGAGCAACUCCAUGGAGGGACAGGUGCUCCAUGAAAACUUAAAGCAUUAACACUAAUAUUAAAUUGGUCAUAGCAUCCCCCAUCUAUGCAACUUAAGGUGAAAAAAUGCAAAAAUAAGUAUGCAAUUGUUUUUUUGUUUCACUGGGAUACGUCAACAUCUUUGCCAGGUUGGUUCAUUUUCCUCCUGACAGUUAAGAAGAAUUGUUCUAUGGAAAAUUUCACUCUCUGACUAAUGUUAUCUGAACUUGAGUUUCUAUGUGCAGUAAUAAACUGAAUCAUUCUUCUGAGUUCCUCAUGUAAAUUCCUUUAAUUUAAUAGGGUUAUUUUGGUGGUUGUUCACAGUAUCUUGACCAUGUCCUGUGAUAUAAAGUUUUGUCCUCCCUGAUUUAAAUUGACUGGACUGUAGAAAGUACUCUCACCUCCUUUGUGCAAAGCAGAGGAUGCUUUUGCUUCAGGGUUUGAAAGCAAAGUUUACAUAGACUUCAGGUCUGUGAUCUGAAAUCUGACUUUAGGGACAGUGUAGAAGCACUGCACCAAACCAGAAUUUCCAAGGUAACCUGCCAGAGCAACCUGCUUUGCUCUCUGCAGCAGAAUUAUAUUCCUUUAUUUCACAGCCAUAGCUACUACAUGAGAACAUUCAUUCUCUUAAUAUUGUACUUAUGGUAUCUGGUUAGUUUUAGUAGUUUUAUGGUGUUGAUUCCUCAUGCUGCUGCUAGAGGGGGCCCAACCUGGAAAAUAAAAUGAUUUUAUAGAGUUGUUACUUAACAGUUCCUUUUAAAGAAUAAGUAUUUUGAAGUCUUCUCUUAAGAAGAGAAAAAGAGGAGAUUGCCAUAUUCAAAUAGGAGAGAGCUGUUCUAUAGAUUUUCCAAACUUUUGAGAUCUUUAUCCUGGUCUGUGGGAGGGGUUCCCGCUCUCCCUUGGGAGGCAGCAACAGUCUAGAAAAGGUUGCCAAUCAACUGCUGCUCUCCGCCCCAGAAGAGCUGUCCAUCAAUGCUUGGUACUCUCCCCAGUUCCAGAAAGUUCAGUUAUUCUGUUAUCCCCAUUAGCCCCUAUUAGAAUACCACUCCUCCUCGGUACCCUGAUUGGUUCUCUGUAUGUUACCCCACUCUGUCUCCUCCCCUUUACCCGUUGCCCAUUGGUUGCUUUGUACCCUAACCACUCCUAUUCCUCUGCCCUUCAAUACCCAGUCCCGCCUUCCCUCGGGGCUCCUGGAGCUUGCUCCCUCCUAGAGAGCUUGUGUCCCUUCCCUCCUUCUCCUGUUCCUGCGACUCUCCUGAAAUAAAGCCUCUAGGAAUACAGCCUCUCCA